rnacentral:misc_RNA from 1 species
GCAAAAAACAUCUUUUCGUCAUCAAAGCUUCAGUCGAAUGUGUCACAGGACGCGCUAUUUAUAGACGAAUUAGGAUUCUGCUGAGAUCCGCCCGAGUGUUUAUGGCAAAGAGAUUACCUUCUGGGGUUCAGAAAAAGGAAGAAUGAAAGGCGCAAGAAAGCAAAAGAGCAGAAUGAAAAAAAAAUAAAAGAGCAAAGACAGGCAUUGAAACAGCAAGCUCGGGAUCUGCGAAAAUAUGAUAAACACAGAGUUCCAGAAGUAGAACACUUGGUUGAUACUACUACUCACGAAUAUGACCUGCCAGACCAUACAGUCUCCAUCACUGACAUAGGUGCUGUUGAUCUUGGUGGCCAGGGAGGUUUGCGGCUGGGUUUCAAUUCUGGUCUUACUUCCAGUGAGACUGAAACUGCCUGUAGGGUUGAAGAUGAUAACAAAGGAAAGAGUGAUAGCAAAGCAGCAGAAGAGUUGAAAAAGAAACAGAAACAAAUAAAGCACAAAUUGUCACAGAUAGGUGGUCAAGGCUCCAGCAAGAAGAGAAAGAAAUUUUAUUUAAAAGUUAAAGGCAAGAAGGGAAAUAAAAGAUAGACAUGACUGAAAAUGUGUGUAAAUAUGGAUAUGCAAACGUCUCUGGGUGUCCUCAAAAACAAAUGUGAUUAUGUCCCUUUGUUAAGCAAGUCUUCUCUAUGCUUAUAAUGACAGCCAACUUUUCUGAAGAAAAUCUCAUUUCUCAACAGUAUAAAGUUGUCAUGUUAAAAAAAAUAGUUUAAUUUUCUUGUUUUGGCAUGACAUUUACUGGCAUGUAUCAUCACUGUCCAUUCUUGUAACAUUUUAGUAAUUGAAAAGCCUGAAAGAGUAUAAAAAAGGAAAUGCUAUCAGUUAUAAGUUUGAACUUUCCCACGUCUAUCAGUAUAAUUGUAACAAUGCUCCACCCUCUUCCAAUUUCUUUUCUUCACAUUCAAUUUCCAUAGAUAAGGGCUAGGAUGUUAAACAAUAGGUUUUCACCGUCUUAAUUGUUAAGAAUCUUGAAGCUAAUGAUACUUUUUUGGAAUGUCAGCAUGUGGCAAGAUGUUUCAAAUUGAUUUAUUGCAGUCUUCAGCAGCUCACCUUUUAUUUUUGUCUGUUAAUAAAAAUGUUGCUCAAACAUGA